rnacentral:rRNA from 1 species
UACGAGGGGUGCAAGCGUUAAUCGGAUUUACUGGGCGUAAAGCGCGCGUAGGCGGCUUGUUAAGUCGGAUGUGAAAGCCCUGGGCUCAACCUAGGAACUGCAUCCGAUACUGGCGAGCUAGAGUAUGAUAGAGGGUGGUGGAAUUCCUAGUGUAGCGGUGAAAUGCGUAGAUAUUAGGAGGAACAUCGGUGGCGAAGGCGGCCACCUGGGUCAAUACUGACGCUGAAGUGCGAAAGCGUGGGGAGCAAACAGG